rnacentral:rRNA from 1 species
UGGGGAAUUUUGGACAAUGGGCGAAAGCCUGAUCCAGCAAUGCCGCGUGUGUGAAGAAGGCCUUCGGGUUGUAAAGCACUUUUGUCCGGAAAGAAAUCCUUGGCUCUAAUACAGUCGGGGGAUGACGGUACCGGAAGAAUAAGCACCGGCUAACUACGUGCCAGCAGCCGCGGUAAUACGUAGGGUGCAAGCGUUAAUCGGAAUUACUGGGCGUAAAGCGUGCGCAGGCGGUUUGCUAAGACCGAUGUGAAAUCCCCGGGCUCAACCUGGGAACUGCAUUGGUGACUGGCAGGUUAGAGUAUGGCAGAAGGGGGUAGAAUUCCACGUGUAGCAGUGAAAUGCGUAGAGAUGUGGAGGAAUACCGAUGGCGAAGGCAGCCCCCUGGGCCAAUACUGACGCUCAUGCACGAAAGCGUGGGGAGCAAAACAGGAUUAGAUACCCUGGUAGUCCACGCCCUAAACGAUGUCAACUAGUUGUUGGGGAUUCAUUUCCUUAGUAACGUAGCUAACGCGUGAAGUUGACCGCCUGGGGAGUACGGUCGCAAGAUU